rfam:Hepatitis C virus genotype 6, complete genome
CAAACUCAUUGCCCAAGGUGGGAAAGCAGCGAUAUGCGGCAAGUACCUCUUUAACUGGGCAGUGAAGACC